GGAUCCUGCUGUCAUUUCUGCUGCUGUAGAAGCAAAGAUACAACAUUUUCUGGUGGAGCUUCAGCUUAAGCAGCAGCACCUUCUCUCUCAGAUGAACGAGAGACACGAGCUGAACAUGCAGGUUAUGAGAGCCAAGCUUGAGGCAGUGGAGUCAGACAUUCGGCACCAUCUGGAGCAGGAGGUUUCUGGGCUGGACAAACAGAUAGCAGAAUACCAGACAGACAGCCGCUUGGCUGCUGCAGGUCUCAACCUCAAA